rnacentral:rRNA from 1 species
GACGAACGCUGGCGGCGUGCUUAACACAUGCAAGUCGAGCGGUAAGGCCCUUUCGGGGGUACACGAGCGGCGAACGGGUGAGUAACACGUGGGUGACCUGCCCUCAGCUCUGGGAUAAGCCUGGGAAACCGGGUCUAAUACCGGAUAUGACUCCAUGACGCAUGUUGUGGGGUGGAAAGCCUUGUGCGGCUGAGGAUGGGCCCGCGGCCUAUCAGCUUGUUGGUGGGGUGAUGGCCUACCAAGGCGACGACGGGUAGCCGGCCUGAGAGGGCGACCGGCCACACUGGGACUGAGGCACGGCCCAGACUCCUACGGGAGGCAGCAGUGGGGGAUUUUGCACAAUGGACGAAAGUCUGAUGCAGUGACG